rnacentral:tRNA from 1 species
GCAUUGGUGGUUCGGUGGUAGAAUUCCCACCUUCUAAAAAAAAAUUUUUUUUUUUUUUUAUGCUGGAGACCCGAGUUCAACUCUCGGCCAGUGCA